GGUCCCCAGUGUUUUGACACGUUUAAUUGCAAAUUAAAAAAAACUUAUCCAAAGUGGGACCU
rnacentral:tRNA from 1 species